rnacentral:tRNA from 1 species
GGCCUUGUAGCUCAGCUGGUAGAGCAUCGGACUGAAAAUCCGUGUGUCGGCGGUUCGAGUCCGCCCGAGGCCA